rnacentral:rRNA from 1 species
CCUACGGGAGGCAGCAGUAGGGAAUCUUGCGCAAUGGGCGAAAGCCUGACGCAGCCAUGCCGCGUGAAUGAUGAAGGUCUUAGGAUUGUAAAAUUCUUUCACCGGGGACGAUAAUGACGGUACCCGGAGAAGAAGCCCCGGCUAACUUCGUGCCAGCAGCCGCGGUAAUACGAAGGGGGCUAGCGUUGCUCGGAAUUACUGGGCGUAAAGGGAGCGUAGGCGGAUAGUUUAGUCAGAGGUGAAAGCCCAGGGCUCAACCUUGGAACUGCCUUUGAUACUGGCUAUCUUGAGUAUGGGAGAGGUGAGUGGAACUCCGAGUGUAGAGGUGAAAUUCGUAGAUAUUCGGAAGAACACCAGUGGCGAAGGCGACUCACUGGCCCAUUACUGACGCUGAGGCUCGAAAGCGUGGGGAGCAAACAGGAUUAGAUACCCUGGUAGUCCACGCCGUAAACGAUGAGUGCUAGUUGUCGGCAUGCAUGCAUGUCGGUGACGCGAGCUACGACAUAAGUACACUCCGCCGUCGGGUAGGUACGGUCGGCGAGAAGUUAAACGUAACGAACGAAGUAGACGGCGUGAGACGUGCCGACGGACGACGACGACGGGAGGUUAGG